AACGUUGCUUUACCUGCGAAAUAGAAACGUAAAAAAAAAAACACCCUGGAUUGGCGGCGUAACACCACGGAUAGCAACGAUCCACUCUUCCAAAGAUGACACAAAACUUCAAGAAGCUUCUGCUGCUCCGCCAGGCAAUAGGGACUUCACAUAAAUUCCAUCGAGUUCUGGCCCACCCUGUGGCCAGAAGUAAGAAAACGUAAGAAUUAGAAAUCCAAAAACCUUCUUCAUUUACUAUAGGGUCACCACUGGUAAAAAUAAAAUGGGAAAAGUUCGAAGUUUAGACCUACUUCGACAAUUACAAGUCAAAACAUACCAGAAAACAUGGUUGAGACGGACGAGAAUUCCGUGAUCGAGGAGGAAAGUAUGGAUUGUCCAAAGGAGGUAAAUGGACUAAAAACUCAGAAAUGUAUCAAUCGGAAAGCAACCAAAAUAUAGGAAAGCUUAAGCCUAAAUGGCAAUAUGCGGUCGGGAUUGUUUUAAAGGUUACUAUUUUUUCUAUAAUCCUUCAGAUUAGUUCUAGAAACGGUUAAAUCUCAAGGGAUACUUUCAGAGUUAAGAUUGAACGUACGGCUCACAACGGGCAAUACUUAAUAUCUCUACAUUGCGUCAGUAGAGAUAAGAAGUGCAUCAGGUGUUACUUAAGAGUUACCGACUAUUUAGAAAGAAUAUGAAAAGAGUUCAUAAUCAAUGAUCCAUUGAAAUCAACUUAUCUAGAGAGGCUAUGUUCAAAAUAGGAAAAGCGUAUGCUCUUUUAGCCUAACUGGAAAUGAUAGUCCUUAGUAUGACUGUCUCAAAAGAGAUCGUUGCUCUGCAAUGAUCAAACCAUUGCCAAGAAAAGAAGGAAUUGACACUUUUGAAAAAGAAAGAGCUUAGGCAUUUGAAAAUACGCUAUUUCAAGAAAUAAGACGGAAAGGAACGUCGAAAAAUUGUCUUACGACGCUCUAAUAUUCAAUUAAUUCCAAGAAAAC